ensembl:lncRNA
AUGAGCCACAGACUGACACGUUUGGUGACACGCGGAAAGAGAGGCAGAAAGGUGCCCAUACUUCUUCUUGAGCGCACAAAAGCUUCGCUUGACUUCCUGGUUGAAAAACGGAGGGAAGUUGGCAUACUUGAGGAGAACCCCUUUCUGUUUGCCAGGCUUAGCACAACAACCAAUCUCCGUGGGUGUGACUGCCUCAGAAGAUAUGCAGAAGAGAGCAAGGCCAAAAACCCAGAACUGCUGAGAUCAACAAGGUUGAGGAAACAUGUUGCUACCUUAUGUCAGCUUCUCGACCUCAGCAAUCAGGAACUUGAGCAAGUUGCUCGUUUUAUGGGACAUGAUAUCCGAGUCCACUGCGAGUAUUAUCGACAGACAGAUAAAACAUUCCAAGUGGCCAAGAUUGGCAAACUUCUGUUUGCGAUGGAGCAUGGAGCAGAGUCACUGAAAGGGAAGAGUCUGCAAACACUGGACUCCGUUAUCAGUGGCAAAAGACACUCAGCCACCCCAACUAAAGAUCUGAAAGGUGUCAAAAAGAGAAGGACGUCAGAUGCAGCAAUUCAACAAGAAGCUCAUGAAGAUGGACUGGUGCACCAGGAGAUAGGUGGAGGACAAAUGGAGAGAACUGCAGAAAAACAUGAUGAUGAUGGACAGGAGCCACACUCAACUUCAGGAAGCUCAUCUGCUGAUAAACCAAAGAGGAUUACAACAUCUAGACUGAAUGAUGUUGGUGAUGAUGAAGAUAGCGGUGACUCUGAGCAUGAUGAAAAGUAUCAAAAAGGGCGUGCUAAGAGGCUAAAGCAAUCCCCUAAGAAGAGCCAGAAGAAGACUGCCGUUAUAAGACAAUGCAGUGAUGUUGAUGCUCCAGAAAGGGUAGUGAAGAACCGAGGUAAGAGACCCUGGAAUGACCAGGAGAGGACGGCAGUCAAACGACGCCUUGCCAAGUCAAUCGCCCUUAAAAUGGUUCCAGGAAAGCAGGACUGCCUGAUGUGCAUUGCCAAAGAGUCUCCAGUCCUAAGUGCGCAGAAGUGGAAAGACGUGAAGUAUUUUGUAUACAACGAAAUUCUUAAAGUUAAAAGAAAGCUUGCAUUAUGAAUGAAUUGACUGAGUUUCCUCCCUCUGUUGUAUUUCCGUGUUUUAAAGGGUGAAUUGUCUGUUAGUUUGUUCAUUUGUUAGCACUCUAACAACUUGAACAAUAAUAAUAAAUGCUGGUUUAUUUAUUAUGUCUGCCAUGUUUGUGUUUAAUACCGUGGAACAGGGAUGAUUUUCUGAAAAAAAAAAAAAAAAAAGCAUACACUUCUGAAUUUGACACUCAAUAUAUUAUAAAAGGUGUGCUCAACCUUAAAAGUUCUUAAUCAUAUUUCAUGUUACAACCAAUGCCCAUUUUCCUUGACCGGCAACUUAACAGUUAGUUUAGACUAUUGCUUUAUGCUUAAGUGACAAAAAAAGUCACACAGAACUUAAUAAUACUAGGCUUAAUUGCUUCCAUAAUGUCUUAAAGGGAUACUUCACUUUAAAAUGAAAAUUUUGUCAUCCUUUACUCACCCUCAAGUUAAAUAUCCCUUUAAGAAAAUCAAUAAAACUGGAAAUAAAACAAACACUUCUCCCUGAUGAAAUAACCAAUUUGCACUUUUAUUCAAUAACGUUUUUAAUAAAAAAAACACUGUCCUGUUAAUGGUGACAACCUCAUUGUGCAUUUGUCAUAACAGAUUUACAUUAUUAAAUAUUCAGUAAUGGAAACACCAUCUUAGUUUACCUAUUAAUCAUUAAAAACCCAAGUGCCCGCCGGUCCUCAGUCUGAUGGUGAAAAACUUUUAUGUAAAUCUUGGUGUUUUCCGUAGUCCAAAGGAGUGUAUUGGAUAAGGGCACCAUCUUGUGGGCAGAAAUAGUUUUGUGCAUUUCUAGUUAAUCAGAACUCGUGGUCCUCACUUUGUGGGCAUCCUCACACAGUCCUCACUUAGAAGCAAUUACAAAAGUGUGUGUGUGUGUGUGAGAGAUAGAAAGCUCGUUCCUCUUUGUGUUUAUGCUCUAGGACCAGACCUUGAUUUAAAUGGUUUUUUUUUUUUUAGAUUUAUGCCAGUUUUGUAUAUUUUAUUUGCCAAUUUCUGUAAAAAUGCUCUCUGUUGCAGUCACAUACAUU